UGAUGAUGGAGAUGACGAUGGUGUUGAUGAUGAUGGUGUUGAUGAUGAUGAUGAUGGUGGUGGUGACGAUUGAGGUGACAAUGAUGAUGACGAUGGAGGUGCCGAUGAUGAUGAUGGUGACGAUGGAGGUGACAAUGGUGACAAUGGUGAUGAUGAUGAUGGAGGUGACAAUGGUGAUGAUGAUGAUGAUGAUGAUGGAGGUGAUGAUGGUGAUGAUGGUGAUGAUGAUGAUGAUGGA
rnacentral:lncRNA from 1 species